GUGCACUUUUCGGCUUUCGAGUUAGUUGUCAAAUUGAUUUCAAAAUUCAUAAAUCAACUAAAAGUGAAGCGCAAGCAACACCGACGCAAGUCAAGUACAAAAUUAAAUUAGAACCAGCAGGAAAACCAAGGGCGGCACAACCACAACCGAAAAAUGUACAAAAUGUUAAACAUAGCAUCAAAUUGUAUCGGACAGUUCCAAAGAGAGAUAGAGAGAGAGGGGGGAGCCACAAGAGUCGAGCAGAAGCAUAAAAUAAGCUGAAGCGUGGUGUGAAAGAGAUAGGAACAGACGGAGAGCCGGACAAACGGAAUAUUAAUCUUAAGGAUAGAUAGAUGGAGAGCGGAAGUAGGCUGAAUUUCAAAUAUAAUAAUUUAUAAUACAUACAAUAAAUAAUAAUAUUAUAAUAAAUAGUUGCACUGAAAAGUCUAUCUGGUUUUACACUCCUACAAAUGGUCCAAUGUAAACCACCUUGAACCAUCUGAUUCCAAAAAGUACUAAUUCUAUACAUAGCCUGUUGUUACAUAUAAAGUCUGCCACGCCUACCGCUGCCCCUCUCAUAUAUAUGCACAAAGACUUGAAGCACUAAACACCCUAAUUUAUCGCCUUAUACAGGGUAUUAAAACAAUAACGGGCAUUUCAAAGUGCAUGCUCUCGAAAUACCCUUUAUUACAAAAUAGCUGAGCAUGCUUUACGGCUCGCACACACAAAAAUACACAUCCACACACACACAGAGAAAGAGAGAGUGAGAGAGAAUCGUAAAGUUUAAUGACGCCAUUUUCGAGUCGCGCAAAGUUGCCUUUUGAAAUAUGAAUAGACCCUCAGGUUGGGCAUAGACACAAGGAGCUCGCCAUCUAAUGCUAAGGAGAUUAGUUCAAUGGCAUCGUCAGCGACGUCGUACUCGACGUUGUCGGCUUUUUCGGUAGCUCCACCAAUAAAAUUGGUUUAUGCGAUCUGCCAGUACAAGAACAACAACAACAACAACAGCAACAACUUUUUGCCAGCCCACUUUUCAAUCGGGCUGUAAUUGACAUUGUUUUCGUAGCUCCUGUUGUCCAGGACAACAGCCGUCCUUAAGCCCGGCACGAACACACACAAAUUAAGCUCGUAAAAUUUAAUAUUUUUGCGCAAAACUUUGCCGAGGAGAUCUUGCUACAUCUUAAUUGUUGGCGCUUCCGUUCGAGAUGCUACAUUAAUUUCGAAGUAAAUCCCAUGGUCUCCAUUCACCAGAGAAGAAUAGCUGUAUCCAUAUAAAGCGAGCCAGGCCUUCAACAAAUUCUAAUUUAUUGCAAUUAUGUGACGCAUGUCACACUCACUGCUGACCAUUGACCAGGAGGCCGACACGUGACCAAUCUGCUUGCCCCGGGGCCACUGAUUGGAAAACACUAAACAGAUAGGCUAGUCGAGCGGGCGGCCAGACAGCAGCUGUCCGACCAUUCUAUAGAGAUUUAUUUUACGCUGAUAACACGCUUAAGUAAAUGCAGCGCACACACAGACACACACACGCCGUCGUCGUGGACGUCACCCAGCUCCCAGUUCGAGUUCGUACAAUUUAAAUGGCGAUUAAAUCUGUUGGCAUUGAUGGAUGUGUCCAAGGCGGCUGCGUGGCUAGCGGGCUGACUGGCUGCCGGGCUGCCAGGCUGCUGGGUUGGCAGCCUGUUCUGUGGUCAGUCUGCAGGAUGCGGCGCCGUGUUAACACUUUUGUACAAUUGCCAAUUUUUCGCCAGCGCCUGCUGAUGAGCUAUCCUCAACAGCCGAGCAGCCCGCCUGGCCUGACUGUGUGUGGGUGGUUGGUUGGUUUGCCUGGUUGCUGGCCAGCGGUGGCUUUUGUGGUGUUGUCCUCGGCUGAAAGCCUGUUCUUGCCGUGAGUGGGUGGACAUUGAGUUGGGCUGGCAUGCGGCUACACUUCAAUAUUCAUUUGAACGCAUAAUUGAUAUUGACGAACAAUGUUGCCGUGUCGCUACAAUGUUUCAAGUGCACUGGGAGAAUGCGCUAAGCCUGCAUUAAGAUAUUUAUAUGUGUAUGUACUUAAUUCAUUUAUAUAUUACAUAUUUAAUUUUGAUUUUUAAAAA